GACGAACGCUGGCGGCAGGCCUAACACAUGCAAGUCGAGCGGAGCGGCGGACGGGUGAGUAAUGCCUAGGAAUCUGCCUGGUAGUGGGGGAUAACGUCCGGAAACGGGCGCUAAUACCGCAUACUAGCAGCUGAGCCUAGGGCGGAUUAGCUAGUUGGUGGGGUAAAGGCCUACCAAGGCGACGGUACGUAACUGGUCUGAGAGGAGGAUCAGUCACACUGGAACUGAGGCACUGUGCAGACUCCUUCGUGAGGCAGCAGUGGGGAAUAUUGGACAAUGGGCGAAAGCCUGAUCCAUCCAUGCCGCGUGUGUGAAGAAGGUCUUCGGAUUGUAAAGCACUUUAAGUUGGGAGGCGUGACCAACAGAAUAAGCACCGGCUAACUUCGUGCCAGCAGCCGCGGUAAUAC
rnacentral:rRNA from 1 species